rnacentral:lncRNA from 1 species
UGACGUGUCGCUUACGUGGUAAUACCAAGCUGACCUGUCGCCUACGUGAUAAUACCGAGCUGAUGUGGCACGUACUUGGAAAAAUAAUAAACAAAAAAAUAAAAAAAAUCAUUAUUUUCCCUCCCCCUUCUCCAAGUCGGCUGGUGGACCGUUGCCAAAGGACCGCCGCUGCCUUCCUCCGGCGAAGCAGCGCCGAGGAAUACCACCUCCGCCUUUCUCCUUCUCCCAUUCCAGACCUCACGCCACCUCCCACAAUCACCAAAUCAGUCGCCUUCCUCUUUCGCCGCAUCGAACCCCCUCUACCGCCCUCUCUCUCUCCACCGCCCUCCACCAUCACCAUCAU